UCGACUUCCCUAGAGGGCAACA
rnacentral:miRNA from 1 species